rnacentral:rRNA from 1 species
AAACUACGCCUACAUGAAGCUGGAGUUACUAGUAAUCGCAGAUCAGAAUGCUGCGGUGAAUGCGUUCCCGGGUCUUGUACACACCGCCCGUCACACCACGGAAGUUGGGGCGCCCGAAGCCACUUAGCUAACCCUUUGGGAAGCGAGUGUCGAAGGUGAAAUCAAUAACUGGGGUGAAGUCGUAACAAGGUAAC